rnacentral:rRNA from 1 species
CCUAACCGACGAAGGGGGGGCGUCUACCACGGUGUGGUCAAUGACUGGGGUG